rnacentral:rRNA from 1 species
GAACUUUCCAGAGAUGGAUUGGUGCCUUCGGGAACUGUGAGACAGGUGCUGCAUGGCUGUCGUCAGCUCGUGUUGUGAAAUGUUGGGUUAAGUCCCGCAACGAGCGCAACCCUUAUCCUUUGUUGCCAGCGGUCCGGCCGGGAACUCAAAGGAGACUGCCAGUGAUAAACUGGAGGAAGGUGGGGAUGACGUCAAGUCAUCAUGGCCCUUACGACCAGGGCUACACACGUGCUACAAUGGCGCAUACAAAGAGAAGCGACCUCGCGAGAGCAAGCGGACCUCAUAAAGUGCGUCGUAGUCCGGAUUGGAGUCUGCAACUCGACUCCAUGAAGUCGGAAUCGCUAGUAAUCGUGGAUCAGAAUGCCACGGUGAAUACGUUCCCGGGCCUUGUACACACCGCCCGUCACACCAUG